rnacentral:rRNA from 1 species
UACGAAGGGGGCUAGCGUUGCUCGGAAUCACUGGGCGUAAAGCGCACGUAGGCCGAUUGUUAAGUCAGGGGUGAAAUCCUGGAGCUCAACUCCAGAACUGCCCUUGAUACUGACGGUCUCGAGUCCGGGAGAGGUGAGUGGAACUGCGAGUGUAGAGGUGAAAUUCGUAGAUAUUCGCAAGAACACCAGUGGCGAAGGCGGCUCACUGGCC